rnacentral:tRNA from 1 species
GCUCUCUUAGCUCAGUGGUAGAGCGUGGGAUUGCAGUAACUGUUAAUAUCCUAAGGUCUGUCGUUCGAUCCGGCAAGGGAGCU